GACGAACGCUGGCGGCGUGCUUAACACAUGCAAGUCGAACGAAGAGCGAUGGAAGCUUGCUUCUAUCAAUCUUAGUGGCGAACGGGUGAGUAACGCGUAAUCAACCUGCCCUUCAGAGGGGGACAACAGUUGGAAACGACUGCUAAUACCGCAUACGAUCUAAUCUCGGCAUCGAGGAUAGAUGAAAGGUGGCCUCUACAUGUAAGCUAUCACUGAAGGAGGGGAUUGCGUCUGAUUAGCUAGUUGGAGGGGUAACGGCCCACCAGGGCGAUGAUCAGUGGCCGGUCUGAGAGGAUGAACGGCCACAUUGGGACUGAGACACGGCCCAGACUCCUACGGGAGGCAGCAGUGGGGAAUCUUCCGCAAUGGACGAAAGUCUGACGGAGCAACGCCGCGUGAGUGAUGACGGCCUUCGGGUUGUAAAGCUCUGUUAAUCGGGACGAAAGGCCUUCUUGCGAAUAGUGAGAAGGAUUGACGGUACCGGAAUAGAAAGCCACGGCUAACUACGUG
rnacentral:rRNA from 1 species